rnacentral:misc_RNA from 1 species
CGCCUUGGUGCGCCUUGAACCUUUAAUAACUAUGGGUUUAUAAUAUGCUGGAUAAUGUAAGUUUUCCCUGCAACUUGUAGGAUGUAUUUUCUAGGUGAGGAAGAGUUAUUACUAAGUUUUAGAGGAACAAGUGUACUGGAAUGAAAGAAACAGAGAGUUUGUUAACUCUGUUUUUGGAACGUGGAGAAGGGUAAAAUGCAAAGAUAACAAUUGUGAUACCCCAAAUCCCUCAGUUAAAAAAAAAAAAAAUCGAGAUGAUGUAUGUAUAGAGUUCUUAGUGAACUACUACUUUUUAAGAAUGGGCAACCUGGUCAAGCCACCCUUGGUCCAAUUGUUAGGUCAAUAGUCAACACGAGUUUGAAUCAUGGAAGUUACUAAUAAUAGUCUAAAUUAGCUUGAAUUAUGAUUGUGGUAUUAGAGCAACCAUUGGGCACAGAAGUGUAGAACUAAGCAUCGUGUAAGAAUAAGUUAUACCGUGGAAAGUCAAUGUGAGCCACCUCUAGGAUCCACAUUGGGCUAAAAUUAUUGGGUAUGCAAGAGAUUUGAAUGGAGUCAGCUACAUUCUAGUCCAACAAGGAUGUCAGGGGUAUGGACUAUGUAGCCAAUUCCCAACUAUUGGGAUGAUAUAUAAUCAAAGGUUAGUGUAGAUUCCUAACCUGUAAUUGUCCACCCACACUAAGUUAAAAAAUAAAACCUCAUGGAUUAUGAUUGUGGCAUUAUGCCAAAUAAAUAAAAAUUGCCAUAACAGCCAAAAAAAAAGGGGAAAAAAAAUGGUGGGUGGACAAUUACGCCUCAUAACAUAUCCUACUCAACUAACUUCUUCAUGUUUGAGGCCUCAUUUUCUGUGUGUGCACAGAGAGCUAAAGAAUCUCAUGACAUUCUAUUCUCUGUCUUCUUAUUGUGUGCUAGAGUAUGUAUCAUGUCAGCACUCUGGAUUCAGGGAUGAAUUAAGAGAUGCUAUAUCACCUUUUGUUUUGCUACAUAACAUUACUUGUUAAUUGUGCAUGGAAACAAUUCAUGUGAGAUUCAAUGACUUCUUUACUAUGAUUCGCUAUUUUUUUCCUGUUUGCAUAAUAUGUAAUUUGCCAAAGACAUCGUGAUUUUUUGGAACCUAUUAUUGACUCUUUUCAGGCUCUUGAUGCUGAAAGCGUGGAUAUGGAAAUUGAUUUGUCUAAUCUGGGUACUGUCAACACAGUAUUUGCUGCAUUAUUCAGCAAGCUUGGUGUCCCUAUCAAAACUACAAUUUCUGCUAAUGUUCUGGAAGAAGCUCUAAAUGGAACUGUCACUGUCAGACCCCUUCCUAUUGGAACAUCAGUUAGUGGAAAGGUGGACAAGCAAUGUGCCCACUUCUUUGGUGUAACAAUAAAUGAACAACAAGCAGAGUCAGGGAUUGUUGUGAGAGUAACUUCAACCGCACAAAGCAAAUUUAAGGUUGUUGAAUUAUAUUUGCAAUGUCUAUGAGGAUCUUAUUAGCGCUUCCUUGGAUCUGUGUUUGAAAUAUGGGUCUUUUGUGCAAAAACUAAAGCUUGACGUUGCACAUGUAAUUUCAGUUACUUUAUUUUGAACAAGAUGCCAAUGGUGGCUAUGGUUUGGCAUUACAGGUACUUUCCAUUUCUUUUGGAACUUUCCAGUUUUUCUACUAUUUACAUCCCUGCCCACUUUCUUUUUUGACUUCUCUCAUCUUAAUACUUCUUUCGAAAAGUUUGCUAAAUUCUUGAAGUGGUGUAUGAAUGUAAAGCUGCCACGAUAGAUCAAUAUGUAAAUUGCUGGUAUAGAUAAAAGUUGCUGGCUUGCUUUGAAUUUGGAUAAUUAUGGUUUUGAUUAUUAUGUUUAAUCUGAACUAACUGAAACUAAAAAUUAGUUAACAUAAUUACUGCAUUAAUUUGUAAUUUGUAAUUUGUUAUUUGCAAUUACAAAUUUCAGCUGUGAGUGCUCGAAUUUACCGUUUGAACAUGCAGGCAUUGCAAAAUUAUGUUACACUUAAAAAAAUUAGAUAACAAAGGAGGGAGACGGUCAAUGACUGUUUCAUCGAAAAGAAAACUAGAACGGAAGUAGAUCAUGCAGAUAGCAAAAGAUAAUAAACUAAGCAAAAACAAAAAAUGUAGUGCAGUAGGCAGUAAGAAUGAAAAAAAGAGAAAAGGGGAAGAGGGACAUCAGAACACUUAGGACCAAAAGGAGGAGGAGAAUAAGGAAAAAUGAAGAAACUGGCCAGAGAAGAGUGCAUACAAAACCAAAUGAUGAUGAAGAGGAAAACGACUGAAUCAAGAAGAAGAAGAAGACGUAGACUGACCUAUUUUGAUUAUUCAAGUCACUGGGGAAACAUGGUAGAAUGAAAUUAGGGCAUCAAUUCAAUUGAUUCUUUUUAUCUUAAUUCCAGAAGGCCUCUGAAGCACAUGACUUGGAGCCUCACUUGGAGGUGUGUACUGAGGAUUGUUUCUUACCUCAUUCUACCAUGGGUAUAAAUCCUGGUCUAGGGGUAACAAUUUGGAUGCAAAUCAUGUCUGGCUUAAUGUCAGAACUAUAUUAAAUAUUCUCGAUAAUUUCAUAUUGCAUUUAUACCUAUAAUUGCCACUCCUACCAUAGGGAAUCAUUUUGCCUUGUACUGAGGCAGGGCUUUGAUAACUAUUCUCAAGGGCAUAUGAGGUAUUUGCUGCAACUCUUCACUUUAGCUGCAUACCCUUUUUAGAUACAUAUUGGACAUUUACAGUGGAUGUGGGUGCUUGUAUAUGAUACUCCAAUCACAAAAAAACCAAGAAACACAUCAGACAUGUAUGUGUACUAACCCUUGUCCAUUUCUGUUAUAUGGAACCCAAGCCUUUUUAUUGGAUAAAUAUUAUACAAUUUCUAGCUAUUUUCUGUUAUAUGGAACCUUGUUGUGGUACUUACAUGUGGCUCUAGAUCCAUCAUUUUUCAAAUGGGACUCUGGAUAAUCAUAGAGGCUUUGGAUGAUGACACAUAUUGACUUAAUUUUGCGGUGGUGAAGGCAUGUAUAAUAAAUGUAUGUUAAUGUUGAUUCCCUAAAAAAUCUUUGGAAUCAUAUCGAGAUCAAUUAGAGGUUGGCACAUACCACUUGAUAUUGUUCUACAAGCCAUCAAAGUAGCUCUUGGAAAGGUAAUGGACCUUCAAACACAGAGACCAUGAAUCAGGGGAUGCAUAUCACUGUUCUCCUUUGGAUUAAAAGAAUGCCAGAAAUGCUUUUAAUAGGUUGUUUGAUUCCCCUGGAACUCUUGGACUUGGCAAUUCUUUUGUAUCUUUUCUCUGAUGGUUCAAUGCAGAAUAAUGGGGGAAUAUAAUGAUGGAUUAACAUUUCCCGAUGCAAUGGUGAAGUUAGUUUCUUUGUUAGUAAGAUAGCGCACCUUGUGUUUGAGAUGAGCUCCUUGUAUCAGAUGAUUGAGCUAAUCUUCACAGAGGUGCCAAUGGUGUUUCAUGAUGAGUUAUAAAUUUUUCUCUGAUAAUCUUUAUUGUGUUGCUGCUGACUAGCCCUUCAGUUUAGGUGGAAACUUAUGAGGGUUCUGGAUUGAGUUUCAGAAGUUGGAAGUUUGGCUACUUGGCAAAAAGCAACUAUUGCUUCCAAAAGAUUGUUUUACAUUUUGAACUGUCCACUUCUUCAAUCAUCCCUUGGUUUUACCUUCCUCUUCAAUGUUGUGAUAGUAUGGAAGCAUCAUUUAUGUGCUCUUUAAAGGUUUCUUAGGAUAAUUUCAGGUAAGGACAAAGAGAACACUGGCCAUUUUGGAUGUUGGAAUUUCCAUUGUUGAAGGGAUUGAAAUCAUCAGAAGGUGGGUUUCUUUCCUUAAGGAGCCAAUUCCUCCUGUGGAAUUAUAAUCCAGAGAAAAAAUAGACAGCAUGUAAAUUCAUGGUAUUUACCUUCCAUCUACGAUCAUCCUUUAUUGAUAGUAAAUAACUUACCAUUACUCGUUUGUCUGCCCAAUCUCCAGUUCUUGGUGUGCAUGGGGCCAUCUGUUAUAUAUUGAUUCAAUCUUGGUAGUGCAUUAAAACUUUAAGCCGCAUUAUUACUUUUACAUUUUGCUUAUAUGAUAUAUAAUGCUACCAUUGUUGAUAUUUCAAUCAAUUCUUAUUUUGCAUUAGCGUGAAAUUUGAAUUUGAUGAGAAGGUUGUGGAUAUUGCUUUCUUAUUUCUUUGUGAGGUUAUGAUGCAUAUAUUUUCUGAAACACUGAAAACAUCUCGGAUUUCCCUGAUGUUCAAUCUGACUUUUGAAGUUCUGACAAUGGUAUUGGCUCUUGUGUGGAGCUUUUGUAGAUUUAUUAGAAUUUUCCUUCACUCGGACAUCUGGUUAUUGCAAAGAAAAUAUUAUACGGAGAUGUUCUUAAUGUGAUUUUAUGGAUAGUUUUAGCAUGUGUGUUUAAACCAUUUGCACAUUUUGGCUGUCUAUGAUGAAUACCUUUUCAACUUGACAACUGCACAUAAAUUAUCAUUGUCUUUA